GGUGAAAAGCACCCCGGAAGGGGAGUGAAAUAGAACCUGAAACCGUGUGCUUACAAGUAGUCAGAGCCCGUUAAUGGGUGAUGGCGUGCCUUUUGUAGAAUGAACCGGCGAGUUACGAUUUGAUGCAAGGUUAAGCAGUAAAUGUGGAGCCGUAGCGAAAGCGAGUCUGAAUAGGGCGUUUAGUAUUUGGUCGUAGACCCGAAACCAGGUGAUCUACCCUUGGUCAGGUUGAAGUUCAGGUAACACUGAAUGGAGGACCGAACCGACUUACGUUGAAAAGUGAGCGGAUGAACUGAGGGUAGCGGAGAAAUUCCAAUCGAACCUGGAGAUAGCUGGUUCUCUCCGAAAUAGCUUUAGGGCUAGCCUCAAGUGAUGAUUAUUGGAGGUAGAGCACUGUUUGGACGAGGGGCCCCUCUCGGGUUACCGAAUUCAGACAAACUCCGAAUGCCAAUUAAUUUAACUUGGGAGUCAGAACAUGGGUGAUAAGGUCCGUGUUCGAAAGGGAAACAGCCCAGACCACCAGCUAAGGUCCCAAAAUAUAUGUUAAGUGGAAAAGGAUGUGGCGUUGCCCAGACAACUAGGAUGUUGGCUUAGAAGCAGCCAUCAUUUAAAGAGUGCGUAAUAGCUCACUAGUCGAGUGACACUGCGCCGAAAAUGUACCGGGGCUAAACAUAUUACCGAAGCUGUGGAUUGUCCUUUGGACAAUGGUAGGAGAGCGUUCUAAGGGCGUUGAAGCAUGAUCGUAAGGACAUGUGGAGCGCUUAGAAGUGAGAAUGCCGGUGUGAGUAGCGAAAGACGGGUGAGAAUCCCGUCCACCGAUUGACUAAGGUUUCCAGAGGAAGGCUCGUCCGCUCUGGGUUAGUCGGGUCCUAAGCUGAGGCCGACAGGCGUAGGCGAUGGAUAACAGGUUGAUAUUCCUGUACCACCUAUAAUCGUUUUAAUCGAUGGGGGGACGCAGUAGGAUAGGCGAAGCGUGCGAUUGGAUUGCACGUCUAAGCAGUAAGGCUGAGUAUUAGGCAAAUCCGGUACUCAUUAAGGCUGAGCUGUGAUGGGGAGAAGACAUUGUGUCUUCGAGUCGUUGAUUUCACACUGCCGAGAAAAGCCUCUAGAUAGAAAAUAGGUGCCCGUACCGCAAACCGACACAGGUAGUCAAGAUGAGAAUUCUAAGGUGAGCGAGCGAACUCUCGUUAAGGAACUCGGCAAAAUGACCCCGUAACUUCGGGAGAAGGGGUGCUCUUUAGGGUUAACGCCCAGAAGAGCCGCAGUGAAUAGGCCCAAGCGACUGUUUAUCAAAAACACAGGUCUCUGCUAAACCGUAAGGUGAUGUAUAGGGGCUGACGCCUGCCCGGUGCUGGAAGGUUAAGAGGAGUGGUUAGCUUCUGCGAAGCUACGAAUCGAAGCCCCAGUAAACGGCGGCCGUAACUAUAACGGUCCUAAGGUAGCGAAAUUCCUUGUCGGGUAAGUUCCGACCCGCACGAAAGGCGUAACGAUUUGGGCACUGUCUCAACGAGAGACUCGGUGAAAUCAUAGUACCUGUGAAGAUGC
rnacentral:rRNA from 1 species